rnacentral:rRNA from 1 species
UGACUGCGUACCUUUUGUAUAAUGGGUCAGCGACUUAUAUUCUGUAGCAAGGUUAACCGAAUAGGGGAGCCGAAGGGAAACCGAGUCUUAACUGGGCGUUAAGUUGCAGGGUAUAGACCCGAAACCCGGUGAUCUAGCCAUGGGCAGGUUGAAGGUUGGGUAACACUAACUGGAGGACCGAACCGACUAAUGUUGAAAAAUUAGCGGAUGACUUGUGGCUGGGGGUGAAAGGCCAAUCAAACCGGGAGAUAGCUGGUUCUCCCCGAAAGCUAUUUAGGUAGCGCCUCGUGAAUUCAUCUCCGGGGGUAGAGCACUGUUUCGGCAAGGGGGUCAUCCCGACUUACCAACCCGAUGCAAACUGCGAAUACCGGAGAAUGUUAUCACGGGAGACACACGGCGGGUGCUAACGUCCGUCGUGAAGAGGGAAACAACCCAGACCGCCAGCUAAGGUCCCAAAGUCAUGGUUAAGUGGGAAACGAUGUGGGAAGGCCCAGACAGCCAGGAUGUUGGCUUAGAAGCAGCCAUCAUUUAAAGAAAGCGUAAUAGCUCACUGGUCGAGUCGGCCUGCGCGGAAGAUGUAACGGGGCUAAACCAUG